rnacentral:lncRNA from 1 species
GUGGUAGAGGAGGUGGUGGUGGGUGUAUCCUGAAGGGAGUCUAAAAACUGAAGAACACACUAGUAAGCCAGGAGAUGCCUGACAAGAGCUUAUGAUAUGGCAAGACAAUUGCUUACCUGCCUGGCAUUCAAGGAUGCUCUCUGCAUAUGACAUUCCUGCAUCAAUGCUGCCUAUCACUCUGGGUCCCCAUCUAUCACCACCUGUGGCCUACUAACAAUUGCUGAGACAGGAGAGCAGAGGAAGCCUGCAGUGGGGUCAGCAAAGCUGCUGACUUAACUCCAGCAUCCAGACUCCGUAUUUAACUUGAUGAGGAUAAGAACUGUAACUCCGCUAUUGAAGGGCUGAAGCUUCAGCCCAGGGGAACAAUAGGUA